UACGAAGGGGGCUAGCGUUGCUCGGAAUUACUGGGCGUAAAGCGUGCGCAGGCGGUGAUGUAAGACCGAUGUGAAAUCCCCGGGCUUAACCUGGGAACUGCAUUGGUGACUGCAUCGCUCGAGCAUGGCAGAGGGGGGUAGAAUUCCACGUGUAGCAGUGAAAUGCGUAGAGAUGUGGAGGAAUACCGAUGGCGAAGGCAGCCCCCUGGGUCAAUACUGACGCUCAUGCACGAAAGCGUGGGGAGCAAACAGG
rnacentral:rRNA from 1 species